rnacentral:misc_RNA from 1 species
AAGACUAUAGACCUGCGGAGUACCUGCGGAGGGAUCAUCAUUGAAUAAAAAACAUUUCAAGCUUUGGAGAUGGAUUGGGAUGAGGGGGGGGGGAUCUUUCCCUCUCUUUCUUUCUUUUCUUUCUCCUGGCUUGCAAACAACUUUGAUACCCAAAAAGAAGCUUGCUUUCCGUCUUUGGCUUUUUCAGUUUUUCUCGGCUUCAGGUUUGGCUCGGCUUAUUUGCUGGUAGCCUACCCCCCC